rnacentral:rRNA from 1 species
GACGAACGCUGGCGGCGUGCCUAAUACAUGCAAGUAGAACGCUGAAGCUUGGUGCUUGCACCGAGCGGCUGAGUUGCGAACGGGUGAGUAACGCGUAGGUAACCUGCCUGGUAGCGGGGGAUAACUAUUGGAAACGAUAGCUAAUACCGCAUAAGAGUAGAUGUUGCAUGACAUUUGCUUAAAAGGUGCAAUUGCAUCACUACCAGAUGGACCCGCGUUGUAUUAGCUAGUUGGUGAGGUAACGGCUCACCAAGGCAACGAUACAUAGCCGACCUGAGAGGGUGAUCGGCCACACUGGGACUGAGACACGGCCCAGACUCCUACGGGAGGCAGCAGUAGGGAAUCUUCGGCAAUGGACGGAAGUCUGACCGAGCAACGCCGCGUGAGUGAAGAAGGUUUUCGGAUCGUAAAGCUCUGUUGUAAGAGAAGAACGAGUAUGAGAGUGGAAAGUUCACACUGUGACGGUAUCUUACCAGAAAGGGACGGCUAACUACGUG